ACAGGUCAGACUGAGUUCAACGAUGAAGACAGACUCGGAGGAGAUGACGGCGUCAGAGGUGGUGUAGGCCGACGGAGUGAUGACUGGAUCUGUGCAGCUCUCUCCUGUCAACACAGAGCACGGCUAAGAUGAUGUGAUUCUUUUGGCCUCAACUGUGCACAGCUGAGAUGAAAACCAGCCAACACCAAGGCCGUAGUUCUCAGCUGGAAAGAGCUGGAUUACUCCCCCACGAGUCCCGUGGAUCUGCUGCUUUGAAGAGACCUGGUCAUUUCUCCCUGCGUCCAUCACCCCGCCUCCCUUUCCUUUGGGGAGCCUGGGCAGAGGAUGAGGAGACGGUGGAGGAGGGUUCCUGCAGUGCUUGACGCGAAAUAAGCUCCUUG